UACAGAGGUCUCAAGCGUUGUUCGGAAUUAUUGGGCGUAAAGGGCGCGUAGGCGGUGCGGUAAGUCUGCGGUGAAAUCUCCCGGCUCAACUGGGAGGCUGCCGUGGAAACUGCCGUGCUUGAGUGUGGGAGAGGUGAGUGGAAUUCCCGGCGUAGCGGUGAAAUGCGUAGAUAUCGGGAGGAACACCUGUGGCGAAAGCGGCUCACUGGACCACAACUGACGCUGAGGCGCGAAAGCUAGGGGAGCAAACAGG
rnacentral:rRNA from 1 species